rnacentral:rRNA from 1 species
GACGAACGCUGGCGGCGUGCUUAACACAUGCAAGUCGAGCGGAAAGGCCACUUCGGUGGUACUCGAGCGGCGAACGGGUGAGUAACACGUGAGUAAUCUGCCCUUGGCUUUGGGAUAGCCACCGGAAACGGUGAUUAAUACCGGAUACGACCACUUCUCGCAUGGGAUGGUGGUGGAAAGUUUUUCGGCCAGGGAUGUGCUCGCGGCCUAUCAGCUUGAUGGUGAGGUAAUGGCUCACCAUGGCUUCGACGGGUAGCCGGCCUGAGAGGGUGACCGGUCACACUGGGACUGAGACACUGCCCAGACUCCUACGGGAGGCAGCAGUGGGGAAUAUUGGACAAUGGGCGGAAGCCUGAUCCAGCAACGCCGCGUGAGGGAUGACGGCCUUCGGGUUGUAAACCUCUUUCGGUGGGGACGAAGCGCAAGUGACGGUACCCACUAAAGAAGCACCGGCCAACUACGUGCCAGCCGCCGCCGUAACAC